CACGCCGCGGUGAAUACGUUCCCGGGCCUUGUACACACCGCCCGUCACACCAUGAGAGUUUGUAACACCCGAAGCCGGUGGCGUAACCCUUUUAGGGAGCGAGCCGUCUAAGGUGGGACAAAUGAUUAGGGUGAAGUCGUAACAAGGUAGCCGUAGGAGAACCUGCGGCUGGAUCACCUCCUUUCUAAGGAA
rnacentral:rRNA from 1 species